rnacentral:rRNA from 1 species
UACGGAGGGUGCAAGCGUUAUCCGGAAUUACUGGGCGUAAAGGGCGCGUAGGCGGCCAACUAAGUCGGACGUGAAAUCCCAAGGCUCAACCUUGGAACUGCGUCCGAUACUGGAUGGCUUGAAUCCGGGAGAGGGAUGUGGAAUUCCAGGUGUAGCGGUGAAAUGCGUAGAUAUCUGGAGGAACACCGGUGGCGAAGGCGGCAUCCUGGACCGGUAUUGACGCUGAGGCGCGAAAGCCAGGGGAGCAAACGGG